rnacentral:rRNA from 1 species
AAAUUGAAGAGUUUGAUCAUGGCUCAGAUUGAACGCUGGCGGCAGGCCUAACACAUGCAAGUCGAACGGUAGCACAGAGAGCUUGCUCUCGGGUGACGAGUGGCGGACGGGUGAGUAAUAUCUGGGAAACUGCCUGAUGGAGGGGGAUAACUACUGGAAACGGUGGCUAAUACCGCAUAACGUCGCAAGACCAAAGAGGGGGACCUUCGGGCCUCUUGCCAUCAGAUGUGCCCAGAUGGGAUUAGCUUGUUGGUGAGGUAACGGCUCACCAAGGCGACGAUCCCUAGCUGGUCUGAGAGGAUGACCAGCCACACUGGAACUGAGACACGGUCCAGACUCCUACGGGAGGCAGCAGUGGGGAAUAUUGCACAAUGGGCGCAAGCCUGAUGCAGCCAUGCCGCGUGUAUGAAGAAGGCCUUCGGGUUGUAAAGUACUUUCAGCGGGGAGGAAGGUGUUGUGGUUAAUAACCGCAGCAAUUGACGUUACCCGCAGAAGAAGCACCGGCUAACUCCGUGCCAGCAGCCGCGGUAAUACGGAGGG